AGCGAACGCUGGCGGCGUGCUUAACACAUGCAAGUCGAACGUGAAAUGUAGCAAUACAGAGUAAAGUGGCGUACGGGUGAGUAACACGUGGGUAAUCUACCAAAGAGCCUGGAAUAGCCGACCGAAAGGUUGGCUAAUACUGGAUAGUUCAAAUGAAAUAUAAUGUUUCGAUUGGGAAAGGGAGCGAGCAAUCGCCUUCACUUUUUGAUGAGCCCGCGUCUGAUUAGCUAGUUGGUAGGGUAACGGCCUACCAAGGCGACGAUCAGUAGCUGGUCUGAGAGGAUGAUCAGCCACACUGGAACUGAAACACGGUCCAGACUCCUACGGGAGGCAGCAGUGGGGAAUCUUGCGCAAUGGACGAAAGUCUGACGCAGCCACGCCGCGUGAGUGAAGAAGGCCUUCGGGUUGUAAAGCUCUGUCGGAAGGGACAAAAACGUUUAAGGUUAAUAGCCUUAGAUCUUGAUGGUACCUUCAAAGGAAGCACCGGCUAACUUCGUGCCAGCCGCCGCGGUAA
rnacentral:rRNA from 1 species